rnacentral:lncRNA from 1 species
UUUUUCUUUUUUCUUUUUUUUUUGAGGCGGAGUCUCGCUCUGUCGCCCAGGCUGGAGUGCAGUGGCGCGAUCUCGACUCACUGCAAGCUCCGCCUCCCGGAUUCACGCCAUUCUCCUGCCUCAGCCUCCCGAGUAGCUGGGACUACAGGCACGUGCCACCAUGCCCCGCUAAUUUUUUGUAUUUUUAGUAGAGACGGGGUUUCAC